rnacentral:sRNA from 1 species
GACUCCCAAGACUGUUAGAUAGGGAGUCAGUGGUCAGAGUCUCACUUUGGACACAUUAGUUCGUUGGCUGCUGUUAAAAAACAUUAAAAGGCAGUGGUCUCUCCUGGUCAGGCUUAGAAUGGAGGUGUGUGGAGCAAGGCGGGAAACUUGCCUGACUGAGCAGGGAGGCACUCAGACACCAUCACACAUCUGGCACACAGGCUUUUCAACACUGAGGAGCAGCCCUGCCUAAGCUGCGGGCUGGUGGAGUGGGUCAGGCCCAGCCAGGGAAGAACACUCAUCACCUAGCAGCCUGGGGCAUAGCACGAACGGUGAAGCUCCUGGUCGACCCUGAACCACUGGCCAGGCUCAAGGCGGGAUACCCAGAGUGGUAACAAGCCUUUUCUCUUGCAGAGUUAUUCCCAGAACCUGUGUCUUUUGGCCAAGUGUUUCCUUGACCAUAAGACACUGUACUAUGACACAGACCCUUUCCUCUUCUACGUCAUGACAGAGUAUGACUGUAAGGGCUUCCACAUCGUGGGCUACUUCUCCAAGGAGAAAGAAUCGACGGAAGACUACAAUGUGGCCUGCAUCCUAACCCUGCCUCCCUACCAGCGCCGGGGCUACGGCAAGCUGCUGAUCGAGUUCAGUGAGUAUGUGUGCUGCGGCCAGGGGGUAGUGGACCCACCAUCGGUGCCUCACAGGCAGAUGGGCC